AAAGGAAUCGUGUGGUGUUAAACAAAGGGAAAGGGGCAGUCUGGAGUCUUCAGCGGAAGAGCAGUAAAUGACGGAUAUGGGCGACAUUUCCUAAUUCCUAGAUCUAACUGUGGAGGUAGCCUAAUUGUAUUUUACAACGGGAGACUAGUUGUCCGUGGCACCAUAAGCGUCGAUAGCGACCUUAAACAAUAUCAGUGUCGAAAACUUUCAGUCAAUUUGUUUGGUUUGUUUUUGUACUAGUCUGUCGUUCUUGUGAGAACAUGCUUUCAUGCUUGCGUUUCAGGUGUCUUUAUGAAAUGAAGAGGGCGAUGACCCGAUCUUGCCUUUGUGGCGAAUGAAACUUUCGUAGCAGAUAAUUUAAGGCAUUUAUUAAAAGAGAAUCACCAUUUUCUGUAUUUUAGGAAUUUACACUUGGGAAACAAGUCUGAUAACUGUCUGUUCACAAGAAUAUGCUUCAACUAGCUGACUCUUCUCUUCCCUUGGUCCUUUCUCAUUUGGUGUCUGUGAUUCAUAAGACAAAUCUGCCUGACUGCUUGUAUUAUAGUGUGAAACCCACCUUCACUUCCCACACUGACUUUUUGUGUGUGAAGUCCAUAUAUCUAGGCCAUAUUUACAUUAUCAGUAUUUAGUUUGGCACUUAAUUCUUUGUGAUGGCAUUGAGUGAUUGGCUCAAUUCAAACCCGAAGAGAAAAAAGGACAGCACCCCAAUAUUGCCAUUCAGAUUUAAUAUUUUUAGAUAACGUUUCAGUACUCUGCAUUUCCACAGUUUUUAUUGUUGCUUUGAUCAAACUCCAAACUCUGAAUCAAAACUGUUUUGGUUUAGGUUGGUUUUUUUUCCCAGACAGUGUUACCUUGACAGAUCUUCAGUGGAAUUGACUUAUGCUCUGAGGACCUUGGUGCUUUCUAAUGCUUUUCUUACAACAUGCGGAUGGCUCAUUACUGAUUCAUAUCAGUUAUUCCAAUAAGCAGAUUCAAACUUGUCUUGCUGUCCUUUGAAGAGAUGAACCAUAAUCAGAAUGCCUGGAUUCUCAGCAGAUCCCCCGGAAUAUAGUCGUAGAUUUGCUUACUCAUUUUUUUUUUAAAUUAUGUUAUUUACUCAAAUCAAAGCUGACUUGUAAAUAAUGAUGUGCUUCAUAGUGGUUUUGUUCAAAUGAACUGCCAAUGACUGUCUCACACUGGAAGUUGGAGUUGGAAGAGAGCAUUUGUAUGUGUGGCUUGUGUGGGCACACUGAGAGAUUGUCCGGUCUCUUCCUUCCAGGGUGAUGCCACGGUCAUUUGUACGCUGCCUUCACUGUUGGUACAGUCUUGAUGCUAGUCUGUGUUGCCCAUUCUCACACUUGAAUAGUGCCUUUAGUGGAUGAGCCAUCUUACCGACUCUUUUAUUUAUUUAUUUUUUUAUUGUUUUAAAUGUACUAUUUCUAGAUUCAAUUCUUUGCUAUACUAGUCAAUGGUGUUUUGCAUUAUGCAAAAUGUAAUUGUACGUUCAACCAAUACAAGAGGUGAAUAAUUGUUCUGAUUAAUGCAUCUCCACAGCAGAUGUGUUGUCAUUGCAUUAUUUUUAGUGAUAUUUCACCCUUUGCAUGUACAAAUUUUUAGCAAAAAAUUUUGUGUAAAUGGUUACUUAACUUAUUUCUGAUUAUAAAUAGUAGGACUUGCAAUCGUGACAUUUAAAAACAUGCUUGUUUUAAAAACAACCAUAACAAACAUCCAAAAUUGUGUAAGUGCUAUUAUAGGUUAACAUGGCACAGGUUAAUUGCACAAUAUAUUGUCACCUACCUAAUGACAAUCCCCAAACUAAUACGAUUAUAUUAAAAAAUUACAUGAAAUGUGCAUUUGUAUUACCAAUGAGGUGAUAUUAAGUGCAAAUGUUUAUGCCUGAAAACUGAAAUAAAGCAUUCAUAACCGUUUUCUUUGGAAAUCAAAGGCAUUUGUGAUAUGUUAUGUAUUGCCCAGGCCUUGUGUACAGUAACACUGAGUAAACUGAGAGGAAGAAAUGACUGCAGCAAUGCAGAGAAACAGUCUACAGUAGAACUUACCUUGAUAUGAAAAAUGCUGUUACAGAGCAAAACAAGAAAUGUAUAAUGAAUGUAUAAGAAAUGUUUUUAUUGGAAAAAGUAGUACUACUGCAAUUGGAGAAGCAUUAGGUGCCUAGAGUAAGCACAAGAGUGGUUAAAGUGCCUGAAUUGAAAUGGGCUUGCUUUGCUAUAUAAGCUCAUUUGUAUGUAGUGUGAUUUGAAAUGUAGCCCACACCUUUGGAUAACUGAUUGAUUGUGAAAAGGAGCUCAUAUUUUAAUGUGAAUGCAGGUGAUUGCGGAUUGGACUUCCAGGGAAGACAUUAGAAUUUAAUAGAAGUGCAUGAAGUCUCAUUGCAAUUACAACAAAAUUAAAUCCAUCUGAUCUUUAUUUUAGAAUUAGUUAUAUUACUGGGUUAUAUGAUACUCUUGAUAUCACCGGGUAUUAUUGGGACUAGAUUUUUAGUGUUUUAAAUGCAUUGUUAUGCUUUAAAAAGGUCAAUUUAGUUUCUUGCGUGCAUGUUGUCCAGAGAGGUAUGGGUCACCCGUGGGAUUUUCUUUGUUUCAUGGUGCACUGAUGACUUCAUCUGUUUGACAGCAUGCACAUAGUCUACCUGCUAUGGCUGCUGCUGAGGUGCGCUCUUCUGAUGCUGUGACUUCACAGCUCAGCUUGACGGAGGAAGUGGCAGUGAUCCUGUGAAUACGAUUGCCAAUUGAAAAUUUGGAGGAGAAAGGGAAAAAAUUUGGGGAUAAAAUUUGUUUUUAGGUAGUGUGGUAGUGUGGCAUGUAUAAGCUGUGACAAGACGUUCACAUGAAAGCUACGGGACAACUUUCCUGAAACAUUUGUUGGGUUAGAAAUAGUAAUUUUCAAAUGCAUAGAAGAUAUUGCUCAAUUGGGUCCACAACUCGGUCUUCCAGUGAUUGUGUUCAAAUCCAAAUGAGCAAAAGAACACUUUCACAUUGAUUUAGUAGGAAAUAAAACAUAAUAGUUUGUCCUUAUGUUAGGAUUUGUGUAGUGAAUUGAAUCUUGAAUGCUUUGGAAACUCAUCCAUGUAACAAGUAAAUACUGUAUUGAAAAAGAUAAAUAGCUUUCAUAGAGCGUGGUUUAACCUCUGUGUCCAACUUCAACAUUAUUUCUUCUGAGAGGUCCUUAAUCUUCCCACUAGUAGCAGUGUUGUUCAUUUGAGAUCUGACAUUAUGUCCUGUCAAUAAAAUCUGCCCCCAGUGUAUAUAGCUACACAAUUAUAAUUUCAUUGCCGUGCCUUUCUCUUUUUAGCCAAUGAGAUAGAGCAGCAAGUGAAUGUUGGUGGCCAAAGUCAGCUAGCCAGUGUUUGGCUACCUUUGUCAUUUUUAGGAUGGCUAUUAUGAUACCCCAUAAUCUGGCUUGUUUUACAUGUCAGCUUCCUAUUUCAGAAUUGUGAUGCAAUAUUUGUAACAGGCACGUCAGUUGGGUUGGUUACCCAUUGUCAUUAAUAAUUAUGACUUGCUACCACAGUCUGUACUAGGGCCGCAAUAAUAAAAACUAAUCAAGUUAUCGAUUACAAGAAAGAAUCAACAAGAGUUUUGGCAUGGUGUUGAAUUGCUCUAAUAAUAUAGCAUCCUUAUGAUUUAUCAAAAGUGUCCGUCGGUGAACAAGUACAGCUGAGCACUUUUCCAGGAAAAUUAUUGAAAUAGUCUGGCUGUUGCAGAUUAAAGCCUGAAUGCAAUUGUAUGUUUGAAAUUUGGGGAAGUUGUGGACUGGAGAUCAAGUAUUGUUCAUAUCCUUGAUUAUGUCAGUAACUUAAGCAUUGUUUAAAAAUACUUAGAAAAUAGUAAUAAUUCGAGUAAUCGAUAACCAAAUAAAUGCUGCUGCUCUAGUCCGUACUGAAACCUGAAAUAGGGAAAUUGAUUUUGGAGAAUUCAGCCAUGCUGUAUGCGAUUGUGUUGUCAAUGACAGCGCUUCUGAACUACAGUCAACCUGUUUGGACAACAGAGAUGCCCUUAACUUCAUCUAUUGCUGGCGGGUAUGUACUGACUACUGCUGUCAGUUAUUUGCUGACUACAGCUGUCAGUUAUGUACUGACUGUAGUGGUCAAUUAUGUUCUGCCUGUUGGUGGCAAUUAUAUACUGACUCCUGCUGUCAGGUAUGUACUGACUAGUGCUGUCUUGUGACGCUCAUGACUUGUCGUUGUCUCUGCUUGUUGCCUAGACCCAAAUUUAGCACUUUUGAGAAGCCACUUUAUCCACCACAUGGUACCGGCUCAACUUGACUCGACUCUACUCGUUUUUGGUACCAGGUACUUUGUUUUCCACUGCAGAUAGUACCCCCGUCAAUGUAGCUGGUCGUCAUAGCGACACCGCAUGAAACUGCUGUGAUGUCAUCCUCAACGCGACACACACAGGAACAAUGGAAGAUAUCGAAGUGAUGGUGUUCUUGAUUCUCAGUAUGUGGCUGUUUGUCACAGCAAGGAGACAAAUUUUGUUUCAGAGGAGGAUGAAGGCAGCAAGACAGAAGACUGCUGAAAAAAAACAGGAGAGUUCGGGAAAUCCUACAUCAGAGCUCAGAUGACGAGACAACCCUGGUUGCUCAUUAGCAUAAAAGGCGACGCAAGAAGGUAAGCUAACCUAGUGACGAUUCUCUCUGACCAAUCAGUGGUCUGCAGUGUUUUCACAUCACCUUUUGGUAUCGCCUCAGAUCGCUUGGAACCACGACGGAUUUGAUACCAAAAAAACGUACCAGGUACUAUCCACAACUUUUGCCCGAUGGAAAACCAAAAAAGUCGAGUCGAGUUGAGCCGGUACCAUGCGGUGGAAAAGCGGCAUAAGUCGAUCUGGAUAAGUUGAAGUGUUGAAGUGAACACCUAAUGAAGUGGCUAGUUAAGCUGACUAAAAUAUCUACCUCAGGUGCCUUUUGGACUUUUGCCAGUUUCAUGCUCUGCGUUGGGAAAAGUCCAUAUGUUCGGUAGCCAUAACUAAGACUGGGUGUUUGUCACAGAUGUCGCAGAUACUGUGAUUUUUGCCAUUUUUUGGCGGUUCCUUGACUUUCCUGAUUUUUGGCAUCUCUACGAUUUCCUGUUUUUAGUACUUUCUGUGCUUUUUUUCAGCAAUUUUGGAUGAGGUGCUCCAUCAAAGACCAAAUCUAGCAAUGUACAACGCAUUGUACCAAAACAAACUUUAAAAGAUAAAGUUCGUCACAUGGUUUAUUUCAGUAAUGCAAUUUGCGCUCUAUUUUGAACAACAUUGUGUUAAAGGCAGAACAGCAUGCUCUUUCUGUCUGUGAUGGACCAAACUAAGUAAUUAAAAGCAUCAGCUUAUCAAUGUAUUUUACUUGUGAGCUGUUUGUUCCUAGGAGCCGGCUACUGCCCGUUGAACGUUGUUUGAACCUCAAGCACUUGUUGCUGUUGCUACAGCUGCGCAUGUUAUUCCAGUCAUUUCCCACUGCUGCGCAUGAGAUUUGUUAACUUAAUAAAUCAACUUUUUUUAAAAAACUUGUUUUCUUCUGCUUUUUCCAGUUUUAUGUGAUUUUCAACAACUUUGCCUUGACGUUUCUGCUCUUCAGCCAGUAUUAUCUGUGUCAAACACCCAGCCUUAGCCAUAACUACUCACAUAUACUGUAGAAAGGAGAUUGAAAAUGCUACAGUGAAACAGCUGUGGAGCUGGGCUUGUAGCCAGAGCUUUGCAGGGUUGAAUCCCAGGGGUAAUGCUAUUGUAAGUUUUUGUGAAGGUGUUCAACCAGAUUGCUGCAGUAAAUGUAAAUUGUGCCAGUUCAGUGAGUAUGUGAUAUGUGAAAAGUUCUACCACACAAGUAAAGUCACACGGGUACCUUGCGCUAACUUGUAUUACAGAGUAAUCUGUGACUUAAUCAAAUAAUUUUUGGCUGUGUCCAUAGGCAGUUUACUGGUUUGAUUGCACACACCCUGAGUGGGCGGCAGAGCUGGUUCCACCAGCCGUAGUGAAAUCAUAUGUUGUCCGGUAGCUUAGAGGAUUUCAUUGCACGUAACUGGCUGCUCUGCUCAUCAGUCACAAAAUCAUGCCAAGCAAGCAGCUGUUCCGGCAGUCCUUCCUCUGUUUGUGCACAUGGUCCUAGUGCCCACUGCCUGAAAGCGCUGAAGAUUUGAAGAAUGAAAAUGGUCAAACUGAUAGCAGAGGCUGACGCCGGUUUGCAGCGGUAGACAACCGGUAAAACCAGGCAGGCCGCAUUGCACUCCAGCCCCAGGACAGCUUUUUGUCAUAUGAUGGACUUUCUGUCUUCCUGCUGGCAGCUGUGAGAGACUGAAUAUUUCUUCAAUUUGCGAUUCAUAUAGUUAAAGGGGCAGUUCAUCCAAAAAUGAUAAUGAAAGUAUGUUUCCACUUACCCAGAAUGCUGUAUGUUCAUUGAGGUAGUUUUGCUGGGAUUUGACAUUUUUUAGAUCUCUAGCUUUUGUGGCCUCAAAAAAAACUUGCAUCUGUUUCCAAAUAUGAUACCUUGGUUACUCAGAAGUGUACGGUUUCUUCAAAAACUACUUUCUGUGAAGUACACCAACUGUAUAUCCACAAAAAGUGUCAAACAAAGCAGGCCAAAAUUCUGGAGCACAUUGUCAACAUUGUUAAAAUAUCAUUUUUAACAACAUUGGCACUGCGUUAUCUGGAUGGAUAGAUAAUAUCUUGGUAAGCAGAAACAUACCUUAAUUUCAUUUUUGGGUGAACUUCCACUUUAAGCUGAAGAAGACAGUCAAUCUGUACACAGAUAAUUAGCGAAAACAAUAUGACUACAGAUCUAAAAUCAUUUAAUGGGCGAUUAGACCACCUCCUGUGGUUGGCCGAGUCUGUUUGCACCAUAGAGUUCAUACAUGCUGCCAGCGUCUGGAAUUCAACAGGAGGAACGCAGUACUAGUCUUCCCCAAGUCGAUCAGCCCAACAGGAAAAUGUCAUCUUGGGUGUCAUUAUAUCACAGAAAUAUUUAGAUUUGGUAAAGAUUUGGCCUGCUGCUAGGGAUAACAUGUUGGGCUCCUCAGACCGCUUGGGCUGUGUGGUGGGAGCCUCGUCUUGACAGAUGGAUUAUAGCCCUUAGACUGUAUAAAAUGUAGAUACAGCGACUCCAAUAGAAACCUAUGGGGAGCAUAUCAGAACCAGGAAGUACCGUUUUUCGCUCAAUAGACAAACUCAGUUGUGUCCUUGGUCACAUGCCUACAUCACGUGUACAACGAGGAUAGCACAGACAUUGGCUAAAAUAAAUAAUAAAUAAAAAAUUAAUAUCUUUGUCUGCGUGGUAGGAAAAAAAUAUUUUACCUCUGAAAAAUAAGUGAUUUUUCUUC